rnacentral:lncRNA from 1 species
GUGUAGAAAAGACAGGUGUUGUCGGGAAUGUAGAAAAGACGGGUGUUGUCGGGAGUGUAGAAAAGACAGGUGUUGAUAAAUUACUAAAAAGGAGUAACAACAUUUUUACUAGUACAACUGUUGAGCUUAGUCAGUAUAAUAAGUCUAAUAUACAUAACGAGCACUCACUUAAAGAAUUUGGAGACAAAAACGAUUUUCCACUCAUUGUCGAAACUAAAAAAGUGUUGAUGUUAAUGAAAAAGAUAGUAAAGAUUACGACUACUCCAAUAGUAAUAAUAAAAAACAUGUAAGUUUUUGUAAAUCUAAGAUUAACGAAAUAAAAGUAUGUAUACUGGGAGAUAAGAACAGUGGUAAAACAACUCUAAUUGAAUCUAUCAUAAAAAAAAUAUAAUUAAUGACAGUGAUGUUUUUGAGCUAUUUGGUAAAAGGAAAUAUAUUAACAAUGAUUUGAGCUUAUUUUAUAAAGAUAUAAAAAUUGAUAUAUUAGAUACUUGUAAUUUAAAAAAACAACAUCGAUUUUGUGGUGAAGACUUAUUUCAUGAUGAACAAAAUAGAGUUUAUAAUAAUAUAAGAAAAAGUGAUAUAUGCAUAUAUAUAAAAGAAGUAAAAGAAAAUUCAAUUGAUUUAAAAAGAGAAAAUAAAAAAAUGUUAUUUUAUUUAUUAAAAGAAAAAAAAAAUAUUAUUUUUAUUGUAAAUAAAAUUGAUUUAAUUGUUACAGAUUAUGAAAAAAAAAAAUGAAUUUUUAAAAAUAUUUUCAACACUAUUUAAUGACAUACCUGUUAUUUUUUUAAAUAGUAAUAAUAAUAAUCAUAUUAAUAUAUUACUUAACAAAAUAAUUAAUAUACAUAAAAAAAAUCAUUUAAUAAUCUCAAGUAAUAUUUUAAAUUUAUAUCUUAUGCAAUUUUUAAAACUUUUUCCAAUUCCUUGGGUAAAAAAAAAAAUAAAAAAAAAAAAAAAAAAGAAAAAAAGAAAAAAAAAAAAAAAAAAUAUAUUUAUUUGUAUACAUGUGCGUGUGGGGUGUGCUUAUAUACUAGAAGAUAGAAGUGAAAUUUUAUGGAAAAGUGUGACGAAAAAAAGAGUGGAAAAAGAGUGGAAAAAGAGUGGAGAAAGAAUAAAAUGUAUUAUACAUUUUGUGUUUAACAAGAUAAAAAGUAAGCUUAGACACAAAUCUACUUCUUUCAUCUUGUCUGAUAUAUAUAUAUAUAUAUAUAUAUAUAUAUAUAUAUAUAUUAUUUUGCUGUUUUGUGCAUAUUUUUAACAGUUUACGCUUUGUCAUAAAC